GCUUCCGAGGAGCGCUGCAAGGUCGGGCCGUAUGGCUCAAACCCUAGGCUCGGAACCUGUUUUCAACGGCGCUCACCUACC
rnacentral:ncRNA from 1 species